GCCCACUCUCUUCCUGGGGUACCACUGAGAAAACCACUUGGUCUCCGUGCAGCCAGCCUUCACUCUGGUGUGGUCUCCGCAGCAGUCCUCACCCCUCGCUUGGCACCUGCAGGCUCCACGCUGCCCUAAUCGGGGAAUUGACGCUUCAUCUUCUGUGCCUGGAUGGUUUGCAUCCCGGGUUAGCUCAUGACCUCAGCCCGGGCAGGGGCCACAGCCAUCCCCCGCCCCACCCUGUCCCUUGUUGCCUCCUUCCCUGUGAGAACUUGGACUCUGAGACUUCCCAGUCUGCCCACAGCAGAUACCUGCCCGCCCUGUGCAAGGGUCCCUUUGGAGCCCUUGGGGGGAGGGGAGCGCAGCCCCCAAACCCGUACGCUCCGGUUCCUGCCCUCGGAGAAUGAAAGUGUGGCAGCUAGCUGCCACAGGAGGUGGUGGUUCUGGAAGCUGACGGUAGUGAGUGUGGCAAGAGGACAGAGGAGGGAGCUCCAGGCCCACGUUUCCUCCUUUCUUCGGACCUCUAAACCGGAGUUUUGGUCGACUCUUGCACUUCCAGGAGUCUUCGGCUAAAUCCGCGUCUGUCCUCCUCUUCCCAGAUGUAUGCUCUUCUGUCCGUGACCUGCAUCACUGACGGCGCUGCCCGAGCCAGGGACCCUAGUUGGUCACCGAGUCUCAAAAGUGCUCACAGACGCCUGUGAAAUCCUGCUCCUCUCAUUCAUACGGCCUAGUCCAGGCUGUGCUCUGAUGAGCCACCCUCUUAUCUAGCGCAGGGGUCCGUCAGCUUUCUGCAAAAGGCUGGGUGGUGACCAUUUUAGGCGUUACAGGGUCAUGCGGCGUAUCACAGCCAUUCUCCUCUGCCCUGGCAACGCAGAAACAGCCACGGGCAGUCUGUAAACAAAUCUGUGUGUCUGUUCUGACAAAACUUUACUUACACAAAUAGGCAGCCGGCUGGAUUUGGCCGCUGACACGGUAGUUUGCCAAGCUCUGGUCUAGAGCACGGACGCAUACCCUUAAUCAGGCUGUGCUGGACGUGACUUUUCUAGAAGACCCCGGACGGUGCCGCACCCCUGCUCUGACACCCGCGUGGCUCCCAGAGGCCCAGGAGACCAGUGCAGCCAAAGCCCAUGACCAGCGAGAGGCUCAUUCUGCUGUUGGUAAAGUGGGGCCCACGAUACUGCUCUGCCUCGUGGCCGUUGGAUGGUCAGGCACGGGUGGAAGGGACUGAGCUGCUGUCUGCUCUGCAUAGUGUGGAUGUCGUCCACAGAAAGAACUCAGCCUGGGAAGACAGUUGCUGUUGUUUGCCAUCAGACUCCCAACCGGUACCAACUGAAAGUUGAAGGGCAGAGCUGUGACGCGCUAACAAAAGCUGUUGGUGUUCGGGAUACAGUGAAGAUAAUGCUGCUUAGCUAAACUUCUCAACUGGCAUGUUUUAACAUCACUGUCUGUCGUCUGUCGUCCAGGAAAUACCAUCUGUGGCCGCUAAGCUAAAUGCUACACCCCUGGAAAAGCUCACAGAUGCCCUCCACGUUUUCCGUGAUUGAGAUUUGGCUCUCUGGAUACCACUGCGGACAGGUUAACCAGAGCUUGGCUUCGUGACCCCCUAAUGGGGCGCGGUAAAGCCGGGCCCUUGCCCAGAAAAUCAGCCCUGUUUCCCAGAGUCCGUGACACUCGACCUUGGGUCGACUCUGUUUACUCCUGGAAUUUCUGAGAAGCAGUAAAGCACCGUGACAUGCCUCUGCCUCGUUGAUCCCUUAUAUAUUCUGACACCACCUGCUAAUCAGUCGAUGGCGGAAUUGCCUUGCGAUGCAGACUGAGGGAGGUUCAUGAAGUGGAACGGAGGAGUGGCUUACAGUGUUUAUUAAUGUAUGUGCUAAACAAAAGCUUCGCCUCUGGGCAUCCCGUUGCACGCUGGCUCCCUGCAGCCUGGAAUACUGAUGGCAUGUUGUCGCAACACUGACUCCAUUUUCCCAUGGCCUGGGAAGCCCUGAAACAACUCAGCCUUACCAAGAGGUUCUGUGAGUGUUUUGUAGUCGUCGCUCCAAAAUGUCAUUCCCAGAGAGGCACCAUGUAGGACAAGAGACUUCUCCCAAGCAAGGCCGGAGGGAGGCUUAGAAUCGGGCCCCGAACAGCCACGCACAGACCACGCACAGGCCCCCUCAUUCCUUUCUUUAGAUGAGGCGUUGGCAAACCUUCUCCCUAAAGGGCCGUAUGGUAAAUACGUUGGACUUUUGGGGUCACGCAGACUCUGUCGCAGCUCCUCAAGUCUGCCUUUGUAGCACGGAGGUAGCCUUAGACGUGAUGUAAACGGCCUCCCCAGAGAACGUGGAGCUUGGCAACCACGACCGCUGCCAUUGGGUUUUACUAAUGGUCGCUGCUGCUGUCUCUCCGAGAGGCCACGCCGGACAGGGGUUUCGGCGUCCGACGACUGUGUUCCGAGUCGGCCACGUCCGCUUACUGCAACGGGCCAGUGAGUGAGUCUCGGCCCCCCUGAGCCUCUGCGUCCUGCCCGUGAAGGUUGGGGUACUAACACCAGCGUGGAGUGUGGCCAUGAGACAGGAAAUGUAGAGAUUUUUUGGCCCGCUGAGACUGCAUAACCAUCUGCCAUAAAUUGAGACUAGUACGGCUUAUUUUGGUGAAUGCAAAAUUGGAUCCCAUUCUUUACCCUGUGGCUCGAUUCAACUUCCAGAUGGUUGAUCCACAUGAAGUAAUAGGAAUGCACCGCAACUCUGCUUAGCUGAAGAUGGAGACGUAAUAUUUAUUUGCCGAUGUGGAGGCCUCCGAACGCUGCCCUGUCGGGAUGUCGAUACAUAACACAGCAGCACAGAAAUGUCAGCUUGUUUCAUAGGAGCGACAGCCUUCCUCCGAGUUGCCAUGGGGGGACCCCCGGAUGUCUUUUUUUUUUUUUUUUUGGUCUGCCCUUGACCUAAUCUCAAGAGGUUUUGUUCUCUCCUGGGCUGUUUCUUAUCAGCUCUGUCUGCUCGUGUAGCCGGCUUCGCAUCUGCUUUGACUUUAGUGCCUGUGACGUUUUCAUUAAUACUUCUCCAAGGUUGAGCCUUUACUUCAAAUAUCCUGCAGCUCACGGAAGCCGUAGCUCAGCUGUGCCCAGCUAGGGGCCGCCGGGAAAUUUGGCUCCGCUUCAUCGACAAGCUCGGUCUUCUCCGCCCAGUUGGGCUCGUCAAUCCAUUUUCAUCUUUGCUUCUCCCCAACAUUAGCCUGAAGGGGAUCGAGGUCAGCAGAUUCGGGGUGCCUAGACCCAACUGGCACUUUUACACCCAAGACCGGCUCCUGUGCCUGGAUUACCUGCCCCCGGGCCAGCCAACCUUGCCCGCGCAAACUCCCCACCUACCUCAGGGAUGACUGGGGCUCAGGGCCUCCGGUCAGCUCCCACGAGACCCUGUGGACCGCCUACAUCUCAAUCACCUGGGGUUGCGUUUUAAAAAUGCAGACUCCUGGGGCACCUGGGUGGCUCAGUCGGUUGAGCGUCCGACUUCGGCUCGGGUCAUGAUCUCAUGUGGGUUGGAGC